CAAAUUGAGAGUUUGAUCCUGGCUCAGGACGAACGCUGGCGGCGUGCCUAAUACAUGCAAGUCGAGCGAGCUGAAUUCAAAGAUCCCUUCGGGGUGAUUUGUUGGACGCUAGCGGCGGAUGGGUGAGUAACACGUGGGCAAUCUGCCCUAAAGACUGGGAUACCACUUGGAAACAGGUGCUAAUACCGGAUAACAACAUGAAUCGCAUGAUUCAAGUUUGAAAGGCGGCGUAAGCUGUCACUUUAGGAUGAGCCCGCGGCGCAUUAGCUAGUUGGUGGGGUAAAGGCCUACCAAGGCAAUGAUGCGUAGCCGAGUUGAGAGACUGAUCGGCCACAUUGGGACUGAGACACGGCCCAAACUCCUACGGGAGGCAGCAGUAGGGAAUCUUCCACAAUGGACGCAAGUCUGAUGGAGCAACGCCGCGUGAGUGAAGAAGGUUUUCGGAUCGUAAAGCUCUGUUGUUGGUGAAGAAGGAUAGAGGCAGUAACUGGUCUUUAUUUGACGGUAAUCAACCAGAAAGUCACGGCUAACUACGUGCCAGCAGCCGCGGUAAUACGUAGGUGGCAAGCGUUGUCCGGAUUUAUUGGGCGUAAAGCGAGCGCAGGCGGAAUGAUAAGUCUGAUGUGAAAGCCCACGGCUCAACCGUGGAACUGCAUCGGAAACUGUCAUUCUUGAGUGCAGAAGAGGAGAGUGGAAUUCCAUGUGUAGCGGUGGAAUGCGUAGAUAUAUGGAAGAACACCAGUGGCGAAGGCGGCUCUCUGGUCUGCAACUGACGCUGAGGCUCGAAAGCAUGGGUAGCGAACAGGAUUAGAUACCCUGGUAGUCCAUGCCGUAAACGAUGAGCGCUAGGUGUUGGGGACUUUCCGGUUCUCAGUGCCGCAGCAAACGCAUUAAGCGCUCCGCCUGGGGAGUACGACCGCAAGGUUGAAACUCAAAGGAAUUGACGGGGGCCCGCACAAGCGGUGGAGCAUGUGGUUUAAUUCGAAGCAACGCGAAGAACCUUACCAGGUCUUGACAUCCUG
rnacentral:rRNA from 1 species